rnacentral:rRNA from 1 species
UACGUAGGGGGCAAGCGUUGUCCGGAUUUACUGGGCGUAAAGAGCGUGUAGGCGGCCACGCAGGUCCGUUGUGAAAACUGGAGGCUCAACCUCCAGCUGUCGACGGAAACCGUGUGGCUAGAGUCCGGAAGAGGAGAGUGGAAUUCCUGGUGUAGCGGUGAAAUGCGCAGAUAUCAGGAAGAACACCCGUGGCGAAGGCGGCUCUCUGGGACGGUACUGACGCUGAGACGCGAAAGCGUGGGGAGCGAACAGG